rnacentral:rRNA from 1 species
GCGGCGGACGGGUGAGUAACACGUGGGCAACCUGCCCUGCAGAUGGGGAUAACUCCGGGAAACCGGGGCUAAUACCGAAUAAUCAGUUCCUUCGCAUGAAGGAACUCUGAAAGACGGUUUCGGCUGUCACUGCAGGAUGGGCCCGCGGCGCAUUAGCUAGUUGGUGGGGUAAUGGCCUACCAAGGCAACGAUGCGUAGCCGACCUGAGAGGGUGAUCGGCCACACUGGGACUGAGACACGGCCCAGACUCCUACGGGAGGCAGCAGUAGGGAAUCUUCCACAAUGGACGAAAGUCUGAUGGAGCAAUGCCGCGUGAGUGAAGAAGGUUUUCGGAUCGUAAAGCUCUGUUGCGAGGGAAGAACACGUACGGGAGUAACUGCCCGUACCUUGACGGUACCUCGUCAGAAAGCCACGGCUAACUACGUGCCAGCAGCCGCGGUAAUACGUAGGUGGCAAGCGUUGUCCGGAAUUAUUGGGCGUAAAGCGCGCGCAGGCGGUCCUUUAAGUCUGAUGUGAAAGCCCACGGCUCAACCGUGGAGGGUCAUUGGAAACUGGGGGACUUGAGUACAGAAGAGGAAAGCGGAAUUCCACGUGUAGCGGUGAAAU